rnacentral:piRNA from 1 species
UACACAUUCACGGACUUCAAAGACUAUUGU